UUCUGGGCUACAUAGUGAACUGGAGUUUAAAACCAGCCCAGGAUACAUGAGACCUCCCCAGUCCACCCCACCUCCAAAGAAGAAAAGAAAUGGAAAAGAAAGAAAGAGUGACAGAGCAAGCAAAUCUGGCAGUACAGGCCACAAAUUUAGUUUACAAUGGGCAUUUUGUUCCCUAUAAACGCAGGGAAAUCAAACACACAUUUCCACAUUUCUUAAAGCAUGUAAUGUUGAUAUUGACCGUUCCCUAAAGACUCAUUGCAGAAUGACUGUAUUCCUCUGGAAUAUGGGUGAAAUGUUAAUGUUCUUUCUUGGCUACAAACUCAUGACAUUCCUCUAACAUCUAAAUUGGCCGUGUUUCUUGGAACUGCCAGAAAUUCCUCAGAUAACCCAGGAUUUAUGAACUGAGAGGUUUAUGAUAUUUCAGAGGGUAGAACUAGCUAUUGUUUUGCAUAAUGGACAAAUGGAGUAAAUGCAGUUUUAGUUGUGACCCAGCUUAGAUGGGGAAAAGUGAGCCAGGUUGACAAUAGUAAUAUUCUGUGCUUGUGCCAAACAGCCUCAGCCAGGCACAGGGCAAAGCUGUGAUCACGAUGGCUUCUGCACAAUAUUUCUUUGUAGGGAGUCGGAAGAGACUUUGAUGAUGGCAAGUAAGAUAAUAUGGAUUUGUCUUGAUUCUCUGUCAGUGAGGCUUCACUUGAACAGCAGAAGCACAGGACAAGAACAGCGCUUGUCACCAUUCCUUGAGUCACAGCUGAUUAAACUGAACAUGGACAUCUGACUCAAGCCAAGCUGCCUGGGAAGCCACUGGGAAUUUAAAGAAGUAGGGCUUGGGAUAUCGCUGUGUAGCUCAUGCUGGCCAUGAGCUACACCCUUGACACUCUGCUCUGCCUCUGAGUACUGGUUUUACGAGCACCACUCCUGGGAAAGUGAGCAUUCAGCAGUAUUUCAUACAGGUAGGCGAUGAAGCCAUCAUCUUUAUUUAGGUCAAAAAUAUUUUCAUAACUCCAAAGUAACUCUAAGACCACAUGCAUUCUGCAGUUUUCUCCGUAUUUUCCCUGCCUCUUCUACUUCCUACAGCUACCAACCUGCUUCCCAUCUCCAGGGUCUUACCUAGGUGGAAUAUGUCAUGUAAAUCAAGUAACAUAAUGUGAACAUGUUGUCUGGGUUCUCUCACUUAACCUUCCCUGGAAUGAUUUGCAUCCCGGCACACAUCCACUGUAUGCACAGCUCGUUUUCUUUACUCAUUGCCUGAUGGGCUUUUGGGAUGUCUCUAACUUUUGGGCAUCAUGAAAAAUCACACUUACUCAUAAGUGUUAUUCCUUAAUACUUUAAGGUAUUCCUUAAAUACCUGCUUUUAAUUCUUUGGGGAUUGCUGUCACAUAAGUGCACAUUUGACUUUUGGGAGCCUGCUAGAUUUUUUUUUCCUCCCCACAGGGGCUGCAUUAUUGUUUUUAUUUCUACCAGCAAUUUCUCACAUUCUCACCAAUGUUUGUUAUUUUCUUUUCGUUUGUUUUAAUUGUAGGUACCUUAAUGCAUAUGAGGUGGUUUCUCUUGGUUUUAAUUGUCGUUUCCCUAAUAGCUGAUAAAGUUGAGUAUAUUCUCAGGAGCUUGUUGAACACGUAUGUGUCACUGGUAAAUGAUAUGUUCAAGUCCUUAGCCCAUUUUGAGUUGGGAUUUGCUACUUUAAAGAGUUCUAAGGUUUUUGCCAGAUGUAGUGGCACUCUGAAGGCAGAGGCAGGAUGAUCUCUAUGAGUUCAGAGCAGUUCUGGUCU
rnacentral:sRNA from 1 species